CUUUGAACAACGGAUCUCUUGGCUCUNGCAUCGAUGAAGAACGCAGCGAAAUGCGAUAAGUAAUGUGAAUUGCAGAAUUUAGUGAAUCAUCGAAUCUUUGAACGCACAUUGCGCCCCUUGGUAUUCCGAGGGGCAUGCCUGUUCGAGCGUC
rnacentral:rRNA from 1 species